UGCACUCACAUGCAACAAGCCAAAGUGCUAAGAUGCUGGGCUUUACAGCAAAGAGAGGGGUUAUUCUCAAGACAGCCAGGCAAGGAGAACUAAUCUCAAAUCCGCCUCCCUGAAGGCAUAAAGCUGGUGCAUAUAUGAGACUAAGAGCAGCACCUCCCUCAGAAGUUUCUUGUGAGGAUAAAGUGAGACAUUGUUUAUCAAGGGCGGCGCUGGAACGUGGUCCAUGCUCAAGAAAGCCAUGGCCUUCAACCUCCCUCCCAAGCUCCCACACGUUAGCCUAGAGACUGUCAGAGACCCCGGCAUCAAAGAACAUGUGGAAGGAACAAAGGUUAAAAAGUGUCUUUCUUCUUCAUACUGGGAGGAACCAGGAUGAAAUACCUGCUACGAAAAUAACAAACGCUUGGCUCAUGCACCAGCUCUCCCUACUCUGGUGCUAAUGGCAGACAUCACUAAUCAAGCAUGGACCUCUUUCCUGCUGAACCUGGAUGUGCCCUCAGAAUCCUUUGUAACACAAGUGCCUCUGGAAGCUACUAUCAAUCAAUGGGAGUUUGCACAAGAUUUGAAUCCUAUUAGCCAUUCAUGAUUGUAGGUAUUCAAAUAUUGAAUAAAG